rnacentral:misc_RNA from 1 species
AAGUCGUAACAAGGUAACCGUAGGUGAACCUGCGGUUGGAUCAUUAUUGAAAUCCAAAACUUUACUUGAAUGUAGGGAAGGGAGAAAAAUUCCCCCCGACCUACUUCAAAACCCCCAAAACCUUUUUUCCUCCUUUAAAAGGGAGGGGAAAAACGAUCACCUGUAAAGCAAUUUAUAGGUGGUGCGUGAACUUUAAACAAUAGCUCUAAGGAAUUCAUUCCUUUAGGGCUAUUUACUUGGGUAUUCAUCCCUUUAAGGGGGGAGAGAGCAAUCUCUCUCUCUUUAAAGAUUAAAGGGUGUUGCCCUAUAAACCUAGAAAAAAAACAUUAUUUAAAACUAAUUUUUCUCUUUCACUUUUUCUUUAGGAAAAGUAAUCGAAAAGAAAAACAACUUUUGACAAUGGAUCUCUAGGCUCUC